rnacentral:rRNA from 1 species
AGUGAACGCUGGCGGCGUGCCUAAUACAUGCAAGUCGAACGGAGUGGCGCACGGGGGAGUAAUAUAUAGCUAAUCUGCACCUUGCUAGCGGACAACAGUAAGAAAUGACUGCUAAUAAUCCAUAGCAAGGGAUGAGACGAUAUCGGAUCAGCUAGUCGGUGGGGUAACGGCCUACCGAGGGUAUGAAGCGUAGCUGGUCUGAGAUGAUGAUCAGGCACAUUUGAACUGAGACACGGUCCAAACGCCUACGGGAGGCAGCAGUAGGGAAUAAUGCGCAAUGGGGGAAACCCUGACGCAGCAACGCCGCUUGGAGGAUGACACUUUGCGGAGCGUAAACUCCUUUUGUUAGUGAAGCGGUACCUAACGAAUAAGCACCGGCUAACUCCGUGCCAGCAGCCGCGGUAAUUC